GUUGUAUGGUUAAGUGACUAAGCGUACACGGUGGAUGCCUUGGCAGUCAGAGGCGAUGAAAGACGUAGUAACUUGCGAUAAGCCCAGAUUAGGUAGUAACAACCAUUUGAGUCUGGGAUUUCUGAAUGGGGAAACCCACGUGCAUAAGCACGUAUCCUUACCUGAAUACAUAGGGUAAGGAGGCGAACCGGGGGAACUGAAACAUCUAAGUACCCCGAGGAAAAGAAAUCAACCGAGAUUCCGAAAGUAGCGGCGAGCGAAAUUGGACUAGCCCUUAAGCUUUACACGCGUUAGACGAACGGUCUGGAAAGUCCGACGAUACAGGGUGAUAGUCCCGUAGUUGACGACGUGUGUUCAGUGAAAUCGAGUAGGGCGGGACACGUGAUAUCCUGUCUGAAUAUGGGGGGACCAUCCUCCAAGGCUAAAUACUACUGACUGACCGAUAGUGAACCAGUACCG
rnacentral:rRNA from 1 species